rnacentral:rRNA from 1 species
AUUGAACGCUGGCGGCAGGCCUAACACAUGCAAGUCGAGCGGAGCGGCGGACGGGUGAGUAAUGCCUAGGAAUCUGCCUGGUCGUGGGGGAUAACGUCCGGAAACGGGCGCUCAUACCGCAUACUAUCAGAUGAGCCUAGGUCGGCUUAGCUAGUUGGUGGGGUAAAGGCCUACCAAGUCGACGAGCCGGAACUGGUCUGAGUGGUUGAUGAGUCAGACUGGAACUGAAACAAGGUCCAGAAUCCAACGGGAGGCAGCAGUGGGGAAUAUUGGACAAUAGGCGAAAGCCUGAUCAAGCCAUGCCGCGUGUGUGAAGAAGGUCUUCGGAUUGUAAAGCACUUUAAGUUGGGAGGCGUUACCAACAGCAUAAGCACCGGCUAACUUCGUGCCAGCGGCCGCGGUAAUAC